UAGUUUCCACAGUGUUGCACAUGGGGGGGGGUUGCUUCCUGUAUCUUCUUGCUAAUAUUGCUAAUGUUAAUUAACAUACUUAUGUGCAUAGCUGUUUUUUUUCCUUCCUGAUGAGAUAUUUAAUCUUAAAGGGAAAAAGCCCAUGGGUAGUUUGAAAUAAACUGCUGGGAGCUCCAAAGCAGUAUUCGCAUCUCCUAAACAUGGCUGCAAGUGGACUGCAGAAUUCCUUCCUGUGACACAAAGACAAGGGGGCAUGGGGCACAGUUCACAUCAGCUGUCCCCUUUGAAGAAACUGGUGAAAACUCAUCCAGUGGCACCUAGUUCUAGAUUCCUUGCUGAAAUCCGUCUCACCUCUAUUUACCUGGACAACGUCUAAGAAGAAAACAGGUGUGAGUUUGAGUCUUGGUUUUGCCAUUCAUGCUUUCCAUAACCUUAUGUAAAAUUGUUAUCCAAGUCUCAAGAUUCUCACCUGGAAAAUGGGAAUAACAAUGAACAAUCAUCUCAGAACUGUGGAAGAAAUGGAAUUCUACACGUAGGACACUUAAUCGAGUCACCCGCUCUCUGACUGAGACUUUUAGGACCCAUUGGAAUUGGAAAGCAAUUGUGUUGCCCUUCAUGAAGGUUCUCUAUUACAUAAAGAAAAACUAAGUAAUGAUCAUUCUGGAAAGAACCUUCCACCCCAGACUCCAUCUGGGGACAUGGAUGAAGUUUAAUGACAGUCAUGGCACGUGCAGUACAGGAGACACAGGAAGCACCACGAGAGAUGGGCACUGCCUGGUGGGCAUUAACGUGACCCACAGAUUUCCUUGGGCACCUAUGUCCAUUCACAUCUCUCUACAUGGGGCCCUUUAG
rnacentral:lncRNA from 1 species